rnacentral:rRNA from 1 species
GCCUACGGGGGGCUGCAGUGAGGAAUUUUGCGCAAUGGGAGCAAUCCUGACGCAGCAACGCCGCGUGAGUGAUGAAGGCCUUCGGGUCGUAAAGCUCUGUCAGGUGGGAAGAAUGUCCCGCAUGGGAAUACUGUGUGGGAGUGACGGUACCACCAGAGGAAGCACCGGCUAACUCCGUGCCAGCAGCCGCGGUAAUACGGAGGGUGCGAGCGUUAUUCGGAAUUACUGGGCGUAAAGCGCGUGUAGGCGGGGAGGCAAGUCUGAUGUGAAAGCCCUGGGCUUAACCCGGGAAGUGCAUUGGAAACUGCUUUUCUUGAGUUCUGGAGAGGAAGGGGGAAUUCCCGGUGUAGAGGUGAAAUUCGUAGAGAUCGGGAGGAAUACCAGUGGCGAAGGCGCCCUUCUGGACGGAUACUGACGCUGAGACGCGAAAGCGUGGGGAGCAAACAGGAUUAGAUACCCUGGUAGUC